CCUACGGGGGGCAGCAGUGGGGAAUAUUGCACAAUGGGGGAAACCCUGAUGCAGCGACGCCGCGUGAGUGAAGAAGUAUUUCGGUACGUAAAGCUCUAUCAGCAGGGAAGAAAAUGACGGUACCUGACUAAUAAGCCCCGGCUAACUACGUGCCAGCAGCCGCGGUAAUACGUAGGGGGCAAGCGUUAACCGGAUUUACUGGGGGUAAAGGGAGCGUAGACGGCAGCGCAAGUCUGGAGUGAAAUCCCAUGGCUUAACCAUGGAACUGCUUUGGAAACUGUGCAGCUAGAGUGCAGGAGAGGUAAGCGGAAUUCCUAGUGUAGCGGUGAAAUGCGUAGAUAUUAGGAGGAACACCAGUGGCGAAGGCGGCUUACUGGACUGUAACUGACGUUGAGGCUCGAAAGCGUGGGGAGCAAACAGGAUUAGAUACCCGUGUAGUC
rnacentral:rRNA from 1 species